rnacentral:rRNA from 1 species
UACGUAGGGUGCAAGCGUUGUCCGGAAUUAUUGGGCGUAAAGAGCUCGUAGGCGGUUUGUCGCGUCUGCUGUGAAACUACCGAGCUCAACCUCGGGCCUGCAGUGGGUACGGGCAGACUAGAGUGCGGUAGGGGAGAUUGGAAUUCCUGGUGUAGCGGUGGAAUGCGCAGAUAUCAGGAGGAACACCAAUGGCGAAGGCAGAUCUCUGGGCCGUAACUGACGCUGAGGAGCGAAAGCAUGGGGAGCGAACAGG